rnacentral:tRNA from 1 species
GCCCUGGUAGCUUAGCUAAAAGCAUCGGUCUUGUAAUCCGAAGAUCGGAGGUUAAAAUCCUCCCUAGUGCC